rnacentral:rRNA from 1 species
AUUGAACGCUGGCGGCAUGCUUUACACAUGCAAGUCGAACGGUAACAGGGUGCUUGCACCGCUGACGAGUGGCGAACGGGUGAGUAAUGCGUCGGAACGUGCCGAGUAGUGGGGAUAACGCAUCGAAAGGUGUGCUAAUACCGCAUACGUACUGAGGUAGAAAGUGGGGGACCUUCGGGCCUCACGCUAUUCGAGCGGCCGACGUCUGAUUAGCUAGUUGGUGAGGUAAAGGCUCACCAAGGCGACGAUCAGUAGCGGGUCUGAGAGGAUGAUCCGCCACACUGGGACUGAGACACGGCCCAGACUCCUACGGGAGGCAGCAGUGGGGAAUUUUGGACAAUGGGCGCAAGCCUGAUCCAGCCAUGCCGCGUGUCUGAAGAAGGCCUUCGGGUUGUAAAGGACUUUUGUCUGGGAGCAAAUACCCAGUGCUAAUAACGCUGGGGGCUGAGAGUACCGGAAGAAUAAGCACCGGCUAACUACGUGCCAGCCACCGCUGUAA